UACGUAGGGGGCAAGCGUUGUCCGGAUUUAUUGGGCGUAAAGAGCUCGUAGGUGGUUCGGUAAGUCGGAUGUGAAAUCUCCAGGCUCAACCUGGAGGGGUCAUUCGAUACUGCCGUGACUAGAGUUCGGUAGGGGAGUGUGGAAUUCCUGGUGGAGCGGUGAAAUGCGCAGAUAUCGGGAGGAACGACCAAUGGCCGAAGGCGA
rnacentral:rRNA from 1 species